CGGCGGAGUGGGCGGGCCUGUCUGAGGCGCCUUAGCGGUUGGCUUGCCGGCCUCGCUGCUGGCGAUUGGCCGCACGCGGCCGGACUCUGCCAUCUCAGGGCGUUCGGUGUGAUCUCAGGGCCUGCGACUGCUUGGGCGGGCCCGCUCUGGAGCCACAUCCGUGCAGGGCGCGGUGGUACACUCACAGCGGCCCAGCACCCGGUAGGCAGAGGCGGGAGGAUGGCCGCACGUUCGAGGCUGAAGUAGGCUGGGCUACAUGGCGAGAUCCUGCCUCAAGAAACAAACCGAAAGGACCUCAUCCUUUCUCCACCGAGCCUCUUUUGAGGCAUUGACACUUGGAUGUGAACUCCUUCCUCUGGACUGAAAUGGCUGCCUCCCAUCUGCAGGGCUAGUCAGUACCUGGUCCGGUCUGAGGCGGCACUACUGCUGCUGCUGCUGCUGGACUCGGAGUCUGAGCUGCUCCGGGGAAGGUUGCAGUCAUUACGGUACACCAAGAAACUCUUCUUCACUGGCUGGUUCCCACUGCUGAAGCCAUUGGCUGGAGAAAAGUGAAAUUCAGAGAAGCGAAGUUCACUGGGCCCUGACCAUUCCCAGCAAAAACUCCUUGAAAUUUCCCAGGCUCCUAUGUCCCCUUCCCACCUUCUCCUAAACCUCUCUAGCCUGUACCUCUUCCUGUCAGAGCCAUCAGUGAUAUAAUGGGCCAGGAACGCUUGUCCCAGGAAAUCCUGUGCCAAGACAGGGAGUCAGCCAGACGGGGAAGGGCACUGAGCCCCAGGCCCACCCGGUGCUGCUGCUGCUGCUCUUGACCAAGAUAACUCCAAAGUGCAGGUGACAGAGGUCCAUUGCCAGAGCCACAGCCCCACGUGUUCUCUGCUUCUUGAUGAUCUCCCAACCAAAUUCUUCCCGGUGCAGCCCACAGCAUCCUCACCUUCUGCAGGUCCCAGGAGGUAGGCAGAGAAGGAAGAACCACAGCCCUGGAGCCGCUUACUGGGGUCCGACUUGGAGAAGGUGUCCAGGUCUAGCAGAUUCCUAGAGAAAAGCAACCAACAGAUGGACAGAGGGCUAGCUCAUUCUGCAGCCCACUACCUUAACAGUCCUAAACUGGGCACCCGGAAGAGACAUGGGAUUCAAAUCGUACUCCCUCCCUAUUACUAUUCCCAGUGAGUGUUGGGGUCCACACUCCGCAUUCGGGACGGUACCAGAAAUCUCUGCCAAUUGGCUCCAUAUGUGCUCACACUGUCUCCAAGGACCAAGGAGGCGGCUCGUCCCAGAACUUUGGCCCCUUGUGGCCCAGCUCUUAAGGAAUCCCUGCAGCCCACCUUUUGAAUUGGUAGGCUUGAGCCCGCUUUUAUAGGGUGGGGCUGCCCAGGGAGACACCCCCCCCAUUCCUGCCAGUGAUAAUGACUCCCGCCUUCAGCCUCGGUUCUCUUGUCCCUGCUUCUGGUGGUCCCCUCUGUGGUCUAGCCCCCUGCCCGCCCCGAGCCCCGCAGCCCAUUGCCAGUACUUAAACCCUCCCUAGCGCGGCCCGCUCACCGGCACGACACAGUAAUUUCAAUCUUGGUGGCCGGGACGCUGCGCUCCGAGGCUCCGCUGAGAGACAUGGCUAGUCCAGUGGCCAAAGCCGCGGUGGGCGAUGGGGGGCUGCAAGACCCCGGCCGCCUGAGCUAGGGGCGGCGGCGAGGCCGGCCCAUGUGCCAAGGCAGCGGUGCUCUCCAGCCCUGUGUGCGCUCCGCUGCUCGCGCCCUGACAGUGGCCGCUGGCAGCAGCGGCUCCAGAUGGCAGCACAGCCCCGCCCGGCCCUGCGGGCGGCCCCCGCCCCAUUGGAGCAGCCUGGAGCUGGUUGGGAACCUCAUCCAGACCCCAACUCUGACCUACACUUCCUCUGGAGCCACCACCGGGGCACUGAAAACCUCAGCACUAUCCAUGGUUCUGAAACAUUUGGGGUGGGAGUUGGUAGACUCCGAUCCCUAAGGGGCUCUCACCAUCUCUUCCUUUCCUCUUCCUGGGCCACCUUUGCCUCUGGACAGGAAGCUACAUUUUACCCUUAAUAACUGUGUGACCUUGAACAAGUUACUCAAUAUUAGUGGUUAAGGCCCUAAUAGCAGCUACUGGGGUAUUUUAAACAGGCUUAGUGACCUCUGGGUAUUGACACUGAUGAUGGCCUGUCAGAUAAGGACUCUGGGGACAUAGUUUAUUGUGCAGCACUUGUCUACUGUAUGCAAAGCCCUGGUUUCUAGCCCCAGCACAGGUGUGAGGGGAUCAGAGAAUGGUGAACUCUAUGAAACCCUUGAUGCCUUUGAAACUUGACACUCAUAAAGCAGAUUCCCUCCCAUGUAUGGCCACUGCUGCCUCCACAGCCCAGAAGCCUGUCCCUCUACUAUUAAUUCAGAUCUUCCAUCCCACGACGUUGUUGCUUCAGAACCUGCUAAAGAUGCAAGUCCACACCCUGAGCCAGUGAGGAGCCCCAGAACCUGCACAGAUGAAUAGCAGCUGUCACCAAGCCCACCUAGGCCUGUUGACCCCCACUCCCACCUCGGUCUUACAAAUUCACAUGCCACCCUUUAUGGCUUGAAUUGACCGAUGGGGGCUGGGAAUUUGGUCUAUCAUACACAAGGCCUUGGUUUCUUUCCUUAGCAC